AUUGAACGCUGGCGGCAUGCUUUACACAUGCAAGUCGAACGGUAACAGGUUAAGCUGACGAGUGGCGAACGGGUGAGUAAUGCAUCGGAACGUGCCCGAUCGUGGGGGAUAACGCAGCGAAAGCUGCGCUAAUACCGCAUACGAUCUGAGGAUGAAAGCGGGGGACCGUAAGGCCUCGCGCGAUCGGAGCGGCCGAUGUCAGAUUAGGUAGUUGGUGGGGUAAAGGCUCACCAAGCCAACGAUCUGUAGCUGGUCUGAGAGGACGACCAGCCACACUGGGACUGAGACACGGCCCGGACGCCUACGGGAGGCAGGAGUGGGGAAUUUUGGACAAUGGGCGAAAGCCUGAGCCAGCAAUGCCGCGUGCAGGAAGAAGGCCUUCGGGUUGUAAACUGCUUUUGUACGGAGCGAAAAGGCCCUCUCUAAUACAGUGGGCUCAUGACGGUACCGUAAGAAUAAGCACCGGCUAACUACGUGCCAGCCGCCGCCGUAA
rnacentral:rRNA from 1 species